GCCGGAACUUAUAUAAAGAAGCGACGACCAGCGAGCGUUGUUACUUACUGCUGCAGGGAUGUGGCACUCACAUCUUGCCUACCUGGCACUCUUGCUCGUUGUCUCCGCCCUACUAGUUGGCGGAAAAGUGGCACCAGAUCACCCCCUCCUGAGGAACAAGAGAGCCCUUCGUCUCAAUGUCCCCUGUAUUGCCAACGGAGAGUUCUAUCGCAACCCUACAGCCAACCCAGAGAAGGUGUGGAGUCUUGGAGAGUGUUCAAAAUACUACCUCUGUCUUGAUGAAGAGGUGUACGAGUUCAAGUGUUCAGUCGGCCUGCUAUUCGACAUUGAUAGACAGAUCUGUGACUUCAAAUCCAAGGUGUUCAACUGCGAUGCCCAUGUCCAGCUGACAACACCCAGACCCCUACUGUCAACGGAUGAGCCCAUGUGUCCCUAUGGGGAGUAUGCCUGUGGAGAUCGCGAGUGUUUGCCCUCAGAGCUCUUCUGUGAUGGCCAGGUUGAUUGCAAGGACAGCUCUGAUGAGGGAUGGUGUGAUGCUGAAAACGACCCAAAUGCAGCUCCACGCUGUGACUACACCAACUGCACCCUGCCCUGGUGUUUCUGCUCCCGCGAUGGCACCCUCAUUCCUGGCAAUAUGGAGCCUGCCCAGGUGCCCCAGAUGGUAACAUUGACAUUCGAUGAUGCCAUCAACUAUGAAAACUGGGACCUGUAUGCACAGCUCUUCAAUGGUGAGAGAACCAAUCCCAAUGGGUGCCCCAUCCAUGCCACCUUCUACGUCUCUCAUGAGUACAACAAUUACCAGUAUACACAGAAGCUCUGGAAUGAUGGCCAUGAGAUUGCUGUACACUCCAUCACACAUAAAGGACCCGAAAGCUUCUGGACAAACAAUGCCACCAUUGAAGACUGGUUUGACGAGUUUGUGGGCCAGGCCAACAUCAUCAACCGCUUCGGGGGCGUUCGUAUGGAGGACCUCUGGGGUGUUCGUGUGCCCUUUCUGCGGGUGGGCUGGAAUCGUCAGUUCAUCAUGAUGAGGGAAUUUGGCUUCAUCUAUGACUCGUCGAUGGCUGCUCCGUUCUCAAACCCACCACUUUGGCCUUACACCCUGGAUUACAAGAUGCCUCACAAGUGCAUGGGCACAGGACAGCGGUGUCCCUCUCGGUCCUUCCCAGGCAUCUGGGAGAUGGUUCUCAACCAACUGCAGGCUGGGGAGUACUACUGUGCCAUGAUGGACCAGUGCCCGCCAUCAGUGGACGAGGAGGACGUCUACGAGAUGCUGAUGCACAAUUUCCGUCGUCACUACAAUACCAAUAGGGCGCCUCUUGGACUCUACUUUCACACCAUAUGGUUCAAGGUCAAGCAUAACAUGAGGGCCAUGAAGCGGUUCCUGGACGAGUUGGUAAAGAUGCCUGAUGUGUGGAUUGUCAACAAUCAGGAGGUAAUAAAGUGGAUGAGAGAGCCCACGCCAAACUCACAGAUGGCCAGCUUCGAGCCCUGGAAAUGUCAGCAGACAGUACCUGCUGAGGACAAGGUCUGCAGCAUCCCCAAGUCUUGCAAGCUAAAGAGCCGGAUGCUGAGAGGAGACCGCUACCUCCACACAUGCUUUGACUGCCCUGAUGUCUACCCAUGGCUAAAAAAUGAAUUUGGUAUUGACCUGUAAAAUGUGAAGGAAGGAUAAUGGAAAAAUGCUGUUUGGGAGAUUGCUGAAAGCCUGAACCAUUAUCAAGUUGGAACACAUACAAUGGGGAGAAGAUAGGUCAGGUGAUACCAUCAGAAAGCGGGUCAGGUGACGAAAAUACUGACACACCAGGCGAGUUGUAGUAAUGGUAGAGGUUUUGUUGCGAUAUCUAAUUAAAACUCCAAGGGAUAAUGUAGCUAGAAUAUUUCCACCCUCUUCUUCUAUAAGAUUAAAGUGUUAUUAAUCUCCACUAAGAGACAAAUAUUUUCUUUUGGGGGAUGGUCUGUGUGAUGAGAGCUGAAAGUGUUGAAUGAUGAAAGUAUUUUCUUUUGGGGGAUUUUCUUUCUUUUUUUUGGGUCACCCUGCCUCGGUGGGAGAUGGCCGACUUGUUGGGGGAAGAAAAAAAAAAAAAAAACACUAACAAUACAUAUUUUUAAUUAAGUGUAAAUAAAUACUGUAAAUCAUGUAUUCCCAGUACAGUAGCUUGAGGGGUAAGUCAAACUUAGAGGAGAGGGGAGUCUGAGAGUUGUAUAUUACUGUGCAUAGUAAACAUACUGUACAUGGAUAGCUCUUAUUGUUUUUAAACCAUAGCACCUCCCAUUACCUGUAUGAUGAGAUUAGCCAUUAUGGCCCAUAUCAGUUCUCUUGUCCCCACCACUAGGCAUACAUAAAUGUAAAUUUUAGCUUGUCAACAGUAAUAAUAUAAUCAAAUUAAGCACUAAACCCAAGAGCCAUACAUCAGUGUAGGAAGAGAUGUACACAUCUAUACAGUGGCACAUCGGUUGUCGAACUUAAUUCCUUCCAGUUCGACUCCCAAAGCAAUUUUUUCCAUAAAGAAUAAUGUAAAAUUAAUCUGUUCAGACCCCAAAUGACAAUAUAAUUUAUUAAAAAUGCACUAAAUACUACAUAAAACUAAAAAUUAACACUAAAAGAAACUUGAUUCAAAUACUGUACAGUAAAUGAAAAUUUAACUGCCUCUUACCUAUCAGAGGAAAGCUAAUGGCAUACUGGAAGCAGGAGAGGAGGAUGUUAUUUCUUGGAAGGACAGUCUGGCAACUCUUCUGGUGUUUCUCUUUUCACUACUGACACCUUGUUCUGGCUCACUGGUUCUUUCUCACUAAAAACUUGUCCAAUGAUGUUUGUUUCAGGUUCCAUUUUCAGGGACAAUAUAUUUGUCCGAUUUCAUAAUAUAUCUUAUGGUGAGAUUUGGCGAGUAAGGAAUAUGGGUGGAAAAUUGGGAAAUCACGAAUAGCUAAUAGUUUGCUUGUUCAUUACCCUGAACAUUGACGUGUCCAGGGACCUGGCAAAAAUUGACUUCUUUGGUUAUGCCACAUUUCUUUUAAAUACAAAGUUGAAUGCAGAUAGGAUGAGCAGUCAAAUUUCUCAGUAGCCUGUAAAUUGCUGGAAAUCUGACACAACUGUGAAUGAUGAGGGAGACAUUAAUGCAAUAUGCAUGAUAGCCAUGAAAAUUGCACCUAACCCAGCUGUGAAAACACUGGCCAAGUCACUACUAGUAAAGGACCUUGUCAGGAAAACCUGCUGCAUAUCAGACACCAUCAGGAGACCUAGAACCAUCAGUGUAUACUGCAUUAGCAAGAGAAUGAAAGUGAUUAAGAAACUGUGAAAUUAUAACAAAGUGAGCUUUUGCACAUGGAAGUGGGGAAAAGCAAACGUGAAUCAUUGGGAUUCCACAAAGAGGGAAGGGAAAAAAUUAUGGGAAGCAGGUUAAGAAAAUACAGUAAUAAAAUUGUUCUUUAUUGCUUAAGUAUAAAUAAAAUACAUAUAUCUGUGGCCACCAAGGGCCUAUCAGAUAAUGCGAAGAUAUGCAUUAUGACUUGUUGGUGUAUUCUUCAACCACGCUUGGUGAAAGCAUUUCACAUUAUAAUAGACCUGAAUUAGUAACAGUAGUUUAUUUUUUAUGGACUUUGUGCAAUACAAUAGAAAAGUAAGUUUUACAAUAAUUGUACUUAAAAAUUCAUUUAAAAUUCUCAAGUGCCUGAAGAUACAGUAAUUUUGUCACCUAAGCAGAAAACAAGGAAAGUAAUUUCUUAAUGUUGAUAUCUUUAUGUACACUGUCUUUAUGACCUAUAUGAGUUUACUUAUUUUUUAGUAUAAUAGUUGAUGCAAAAGAAUUACAGAUGCUGCAGUUUGGCACUUGAGUAAACAAAUCUUUAAGAGGAACAUAAAUAUAUAUAUAUAUAAUUUACUUUUAUAUUUAUUUAUAUAAUAAUAUUAGACAUGUUGGCUUGAACUUCAUUCAUUUAUUCCUAAAGACAACCCCCUUCCUCCCACCCCAUAUUCAAGAAGUGUAAUCACGAUAACCGGAAUGUCAAACACUUGUGUAAUUUAAAACAAAUGGAGACAAGCGACACAGAUUAAGAAAGCUGUAGUUUUUGUCCUGACUCAACUGAAGGUCUUGGUUAGAGAUUGAAAUAGAGAUAACUAAUCUCUUCCAUUGCUGUCUUCAAGUAUAUUUUGAAUUAAGUCUUCAUGAAUUAGGACUUUAUUAAAAAGCUAGCAUUAAGAGAGAACAUUAUAAUAUAUCGCUAGUAAAUGGCUCCCACCAAGCAUAGUUCAAGAAAUCACCUUUGUUUAAAAAAAAAAAAAAAAAUUAAGAUUCUUUACGACAUUUGAUGAGACAGAAGCUAACUUGGCUGUCUUGCAGUUAAUGGUGAAAUGAUU